GAGGUUGAGAGUUCGAGGUCGCAUGUUGUGAGAUCGAAAGUCGUGGGGUCGAAGUUGUUCGAUGGUCGUAAGUGAAUUCGCAGGUUUGUUAGGUCGACGUUCAUUAUUCCAUGCCUUCACGUCAUCAUCCGGAUCGUCGUCUUCAUCUUCUUCAACUGUCUUCACCAUGACCAAAAUCUUCUAAUUACCAGAUACGAAAGCGCUAUUAUGGUC
rnacentral:lncRNA from 1 species